CUCAGAAAAAAUAUAAAGACCGAUCGGCGACGCUAUAGCUUUGGGUACUUUCAGGACCCGUCUUGAAACACGGACCAAGGAGUCUAGCAUGUACGCGAGUCAUUGGGAAUAUCACUAAACCUAAAGGCGUAAUGAAAGUGAAGGUCUUCCUCGCGAAGACCGAGGGAAGACGGACGGUUGAUUAUUUGAACGGAGACCACCCUAAAAAGUGGGACCGUCCCGCAUUCCCGGGGCGUCUCGUUCACAUCGCGUGAAGAGGCGCACCAAGAGCGUACACGCUGGGACCCGAAAGAUGGUGAACUAUGCCUGGUCAGGACGAAGUCAGGGGAAACCCUGAUGGAGGUCCGUAGCGAUUCU
rnacentral:rRNA from 1 species